GCGCGAAAACUUUACAAUGCUGGCAACAGCGAUAAGGGAACCUCGAGUGCCAGGUUACAAAUCUGGCUGUCGAGAUGCCUAAAAAGCAUUUCAUAGCAAGGGCCGGGCAAGACCGGUGCCAGCCGCCGCGGUAACACCGGCGGCUCGAGUGGUAACCGUUAUUAUUGGGUCUAAAGGGUCUGUAGCCGGCCGGAUAAGUCUCUUGAGAAAUCUGGCAGCUUAACUGUCAGGCUUUCAGGAGAUACUGUCUGGCUCGAGGCCGGGAGAGGUGAGAGGUACUUCAGGGGUAGGGGUGAAAUCGUGUAAUCCUUGAAGGACCACCAGUGGCGAAGGCGUCUCACCAGAACGGACCUGACAGCAAGGGACGAAAGCUAGGGGCACGAACC
rnacentral:rRNA from 1 species